rnacentral:tRNA from 3 species
UGGGGUAUAGUUCAAAGGUCAGAACUUUUGACUGUUAAUCAAAGAAUCAUGGUUCGAGUCCAUGUGCCCCAG